GACGAACGCUGGCGGCGUGCUUAACACAUGCAAGUCGAACGGAAAGGCCCUGCUUUUGUGGGGUGCUCGAGUGGCGAACGGGUGAGUAACACGUGAGUAACCUGCCCUUGACUUUGGGAUAACUUCAGGAAACUGGGGCUAAUACCGGAUAGGAGCUCCUGCUGCAUGGUGGGGGUUGGAAAGUUUCGGCGGUUGGGGAUGGACUCGCGGCUUAUCAGCUUGUUGGUGGGGUAGUGGCUUACCAAGGCUUUGACGGGUAGCCGGCCUGAGAGGGUGACCGGGCACCAUGGGACUGAGGGACGGCCCAGACUCCAACGGGAGGCAACAGGGGGGAAUAUUGCACAAUGGGAGGAAGCCUGAGGCAGCAACGCCGGGGGCGGGAAGACGGCCUUCGGGGUGUAAAACGCUUUCGGCUGUGACGAAGCGGUAGUGACGGUAAUGGGUAAAGAAGCACCGGCUAACUACGUG
rnacentral:rRNA from 1 species